CGCACAGUUGCCUGAUUUUCACCAGGUAGAUAUACCUGAUCUGUGGAUUGGCAUUUCAGAUAAGGACCAAGAUGGCACAUUUAGGUGGGUGGACAAAACUGCAGUGGAGUUUUCAAACUGGAGCCCAAAUUUCCCUCAGAACUCAGCAAACCUGUGGGACUGUGGUCAGAUUUACACCGGAAACUAUGCUGGAAAAUGGGAAACCACGAACUGCUUUAAAAACCUGGGAUAUAUUUGCAAGAUGCCUGGAGGACAGAAUGUGAAGCCCACAGCGG